GUUAAGAUGUGGCUCUGGAGCACAGUGGCCUGGCUUUGAUGUCAGGCUGAUGAAGCAGGCAUGGGGAAAGGCAUUUCAAUCCAUGUCUAAUGACGUCUCAUCCAGUCACAGAGGAAAAGGGAGUGGAUUCAAGGUCUGACAGAACAGAAAGUGAUUGAUGCAAUUACGUCAGGAGGUGAGCCAAAUGGUUUGGGAAAGAUGUGGGCAUUUCCAACAAGAAGGUUACUGGCUGCCCACCAAGAGCUGGUUGGUGUUCACAGUUCUGAGUCCAACUCUUUUCUCUGCUAGGUUCCCAUUUACAGAGCAUGACCAACCUUUCUCUCCAUUCCAAAGAACAUUCAAGAAUUGGGUUGACCAAUACACUUAGUGGAAACCACUCAGAAAA